AACGAACGCUGGCGGCAUGCCUAACACAUGCAAGUCGAACGAGACCUUCGGGUCUAGUGGCGCACGGGUGCGUAACGCGUGGGAACCUGCCCUUAGGUUCGGAAUAACUCCCCGAAAGGGGUGCUAAUACCGGAUAAUGUCUUCGGACCAAAGAUUUAUCGCCUUUGGAUGGGCCCGCGUUGGAUUAGCUAGUUGGUAGGGUAAAAGCCUACCAAGGCGACGAUCCAUAGCUGGUCUGAGAGGAUGAUCAGCCACACUGGGAAUGGGACACGGCCCAGACCCCAGCGGGAGGAGGCAGUGGGGAAGUUUGGACAAUGGGCGAAAGCCUGACCCAACAAGGCCGGGGAAGUGAUGAAGGCCUUAGGGUUGUAAAGCUCUUUUACCCGGGAUGAAAAGGACAUGACCGGGAGAAUAAGCCCCGGCAAACUCCGG
rnacentral:rRNA from 1 species